GAUGAAGAACGUAGCGAAAUGCGAUAAGUAGUGUGAAUUGCAGAAUUCAGUGAAUCAUCGAAUCUUUGAACGCACAUUGCGCCCUUUGGUAUUCCUUAGGGCAUGCCUGUUCGAGCGUCAUUUAAACCUUCAAGCUCAGCUUGGCGUUGGGUGACUGUCCGCUUCACCGCGGACUCGCCUCAAAAUUAUUGGCGGCCGGUACAUUGGCUUCGAGCGCAGCAGAAACGCGAACUCGGGCCCGUCGUAUUGGCUCCCAGAAGCUAUCUUCACAAUUUUGACCUCGGAUCAGGUAGGGAUACCCGCUGAACUUAAGCAUAUCAAUAAGCGGAGGA
rnacentral:misc_RNA from 1 species